GUUUUCUUUACCAAAUAUGGGAUUAGGUAAACAAAGCCAUAUGGUGUUACUCUACGUGUGACAAUUUUAUGUUAUAGGGCGUAUGUUUAUGGGAAUCAGAUAUGCAGCCGUCACAGCCUGCUGAUGAAGUUCCUCAGCUUAUACAGAGGUCAGGCUUGAGCUAAGUGCUGAUUCAAAAGAUGCUAAUGACAGUGGAUAAUCCAUUCUCAGUUGUUCUAGGACUAUUCACCAAUGUUUCAAAACACUGAUGGAACUGAAGGCAGUACAUGUACUGGUGUCUGGCCUGUGAUUUCAAGUAUAAUUGAUGUACCUCCUCCUGAUGUACCUCCUUGAAUACAACACAUCUGCCAUGUGAAAGAAACAAGCUGCAAGAUAUACUGUGGAAGUGGGGGACUAUGUAAAACACAUUUUAUUUAAAGAAUAUAAGAAAUCUGACACUUAACUACUGAAAAGGUGCACAGGGGACAUUUUUGUGUGUAGACUUUCAUCAAGAUCCUGAGAAAGUUGAUUUAUUAAACAAAAACAGACAUAUUAUGUUUUCAAAGCUGAAAAGAUUAGGAUCUUGGAAAAACAUUAGGACUCAAGAAAAGUAAUGGGGUUAUGAAACUGUAGUGUUCAACAUUUAAAUUGAGUUGUUUUUUUUUUCUCACUACAUUUUGUGAAGAGGGUUCCAUCACAAGAUGUGACAUAUUGGUAAGAAUGAGAUGUAGUUUAUGAAAAGAUGUAUUUUGCUUUAAAUGUGCAGACUUUAAGUUACAUAAAAAAUCAAAGCUGUAGCAAUAAAGCUUGGAUAGUUUGUUGCAUAAAGUUAAAGGAUUUUUUUUGGUAUGAAAUUUACAUGGUGUAGGCCUUUAAGCUGUUUACUUUUAAAACCACCUUGUAUUUUUGAUAAUUUCUUAUGUAAUUAAGUCAUUUCUAAUGUUUUCUCUUUUAAUUGACCCUGAGUGGCAGUUCUUGUUAACUACAAAACCAUCUACUAUUAUUGGUUAACUAAUAAUUAUUGCAAUAGUGAGCAUUUUAACAUUGUUGCAUCACAGUGCACUCCUUUAUGGGAAUAGGGAGGCAAUAGCACAUUUAACUAUUAAACUAAUUAUUAAACUAUGUCAUUUGAAUGAAAACAGCCUUAGACACACCUGAAAAUCAGAUAAAUGUAAAGACAUGCAAAGUUUUAAAAAUAUUUUUGGAUUUAAGUUGUAAUAUUUUCUUACUUUUAUCUUCAGUUGGUUAUAAAUGCAACUGAUUGUUUUUAUCAAUAUCUGUUGUCAGGUGUGUUUCGUCCCAAUUUAAUUUUGUGACCCAUACAGUGUUUCCAGGACUCAUCAGUAAGAGAAACACCAUCAACUUGAGUCAACAACAUAACUUUUAACACGUGAACAGAAGUUAAUUAUAAACGUUUUAAAAGGAACAUAGUGAACUGGAACAGUAAAUGAAAAUUAUAAAAGAAAUGAAAACCUGUACACUUUGGCGUUUCAUAGUUCUUUAAAAAAAAUCAAAUUUAUCUGGGAAGACAAUGACAGUGAAAUAUAAAAUUUUACUUAAAAUCUAAUAACUUAAUGGUAAUAACAAUUUUAUCAAUAGCAUAGAGUUACGAUUUUCUGAUAUUUUUGGAAAGAUAUGAAAAACAUUGUACUUUAAAUGUUAAACCAAUAUUUAAGAUCAAAUUAUGAAAUGCUAUAUUUAUUUAUAAAGGAAUAAAACUAUUGUCAUCUUAUAAAAAUUUCUGUUAACUUUA